CCCUUAGAUGUUCUGGGCCGCACGCGCGCUACACUGAUGCAUUCAACGAGCCUAUCCUUGACCGACAGGUCCGGGUAAUCUUUGAAUCUGCAUCGUGACGGGGAUAGAUUAUUGCAAUUAUUAAUCUUCAACGAGGAAUGCCUAGUAGGCGCAAGUCAUCAGCUUGCGUCGAUUACGUCCCUGCCCUUUGUACACACCGCCCGUCGCUCCUACCGAUUGAGCAUCCCGGUGAAGACUCAGGAGAUAUGUACGUGGCUGGUCUCCAGCUGCGUUGCGUGCCGAAGUUGUCUAAACCUUGAUGCUUAGAGGAAGGAGAAGUCGUAACA
rnacentral:rRNA from 1 species